rnacentral:lncRNA from 1 species
UUAGCCAGGGAGAGAGGAGAAGUACUUGGAGACAGGGUAGUGUAGAGAGGAAAGGGACUAGGGGAAAGGUUAGUGUAGAAAGGAAAGGGACAGGUUAGUGUAGAGAGGAAAGGGACUGGGGGGACAGGGUAGUGUAGAGAGGAAAGGGACUGGGGGACAUGGUACUGUAGAGAGGAAAGGGACUGGGGGACAUGGUACUUGUAGAGGGAAGAGACUGGGGGGACAGGUUAGUGUAGAGAGGAAAGGGACUGGGGGACAGGGUAGUGUAGAGAGAAAGGGACUCGGGGACAUGGUACUGUAGAGAGGAAAGGGACUGGGGGGACAGGUUAGUGUAGAGAGGAAAGGGACUGGGGGGACCGUUGAUGAGGUGGAUGGGGACAGUUAGUGUGAGAGGA